rnacentral:rRNA from 1 species
AGAGUUUGAUCCUGGCUCAGUGUGAAAAACUACCGGUGGUAUAAGAUGGACCCGCGUUGGAUUAGCUUGUUGGCGGGGUAACGGCCCACCAAGGCGACGAUCCAUAGCCGGCCUGAGAGGGUGAACGGCCACAUUGGGACUGAGACACGGCCCAGACUCCUACGGGAGGCAGCAUG